rnacentral:rRNA from 1 species
GAUGAACGCUGGCGGCGUGCCUAAUACAUGCAAGUCGAGCGAACAGACGAGGAGCUUGCUCCUCUGACGUUAGCGGCGGACGGGUGAGUAACACGUGGAUAACCUACCUAUAAGACUGGGAUAACUUCGGGAAACCGGAGCUAAUACCGGAUAAUAUAUUGAACCGCAUGGUUCAAUGGUGAAAGACGGUUUUGCUGUCACUUAUAGAUGGAUCCGCGCCGCAUUAGCUAGUUGGUAAGGUAACGGCUUACCAAGGCAACGAUGCGUAGCCGACCUGAGAGGGUGAUCGGCCGCACUGGAACUGAGACACGGUCCAGACUCCUACGGGAGGCAGCAGUAGGGAAUCUUCCGCAAUGGGCGAAAGCCUGACGGAGCAACGCCGCGUGAGUGAUGAAGGUCUUCGGAUCGUAAAACUCUGUUAUUAGGGAAGAACAAAUGUGUAAGUAACUAUGCACGUCUUGACGGUACCUAAUCAGAAAGCCACGGCUAACUACGUG